rnacentral:rRNA from 1 species
UCGAGAAUUUUUCACAAUGGGCGCAAGCCUGAUGGAGCGACGCCGCGUGGGGGAUGAAUGGCUUCGGCCCGUAAACCCCUGUCAUUUGCGAUCAACCGUUAUUAUUUAAAAGAUGAUACCUGAUAGUAGCGAAAGAGGAAGGGACGGCUAACUCUGUGCCAGCAGCCGCGGUAAUAAAGAGGUCCCAAGCGUUGUUCGGAUUCACUGGGCGUAAAGGGUGCGUAGGUGGCGGGGUAAGGCGGAUGUGAAAUCUCGGAGCUCAACUCCGAAAUGGCAUUGGAAACUACCCUG